rfam:Fusarium oxysporum Fo5176 contig00222, whole genome shotgun sequence.
ACAUACGACCAUACCUGCGGUAAAGUACGGGAUCCCGUCUGCUCUCCCCUAGUCAAGCCCGCAAGGGGCGGAUUAGUAGUUGGGUCGGAGACGACCAGCGAAUACCUGCUGUUGUAUGUU